rnacentral:rRNA from 1 species
GAUGAACGCUAGCGACAGGCCUAACACAUGCAAGUCGAGGGGCAGCACACGCGUAGCAAUACAAUGGUGGCGACCGGCGCACGGGUGAGUAACACGUAUGCAACCUACCUGUAAGAGAGGAAUAACCCGGAGAAAUUCGGACUAACACCGCAUAAUACCUCGAAGCUGCAUGGCUUUGAGGUUAAAUAUUUAUAGCUUACAGAUGGGCAUGCGUAACAUUAGAUAGUUGGUGAGGUAACGGCUCACCAAGUCAACGAUGUUUAGGGGUUCUGAGAGGAAGGUCCCCCACACUGGUACUGAGACACGGACCAGACUCCUACGGGAGGCAGCAGUGAGGAAUAUUGGUCAAUGGGCGAGAGCCUGAACCAGCCAAGUCGCGUGAAGGAAGAAGGUUCUAUGGAUUGUAAACUUCUUUUGUAAGGGAAUAAAAAAGCUUACGUGUAGGCUAUUGUAUGUACUUUACGAAUAAGGAUCGGCUAACUCCGUGCCAGCCGCCGCCGUAAAAC